rnacentral:rRNA from 1 species
UAGGAUUGAAAUGCAACUAGGCUGUCAUAAGCUCAAGGUGCACCUAAGACCCCCCUUAAGAUGAUCCUAGCACUCCCGAUUGAUUUAACCCCACGAAAGCUAGGGCACAAACUGGGAUUAGAUACCCCAUUAUGCCUAGCCCUAAAUCUUGAUGCUUGCUGUACUAAAGCAUCCGCCUGAGAACUACGAGCACAAACGCUUAAAACUCUAAGGACUUGGCGGUGCCCCAAACCCACCUAGAGGAGCCUGUUCUAUAAUCGAUAACCCACGAUCCACCCGACCACCCCUUGCUAAAGCAGCCUACAUACCGCCGUCGCCAGUUCACCUCACCUGAGAGCCCCGCAGUGAACACAAUAGCCUCGCCCCGCUAACAAGACAGGUCAAGGUAUAGCUUAUGGGGUGGAAGAAAUGGGCUACAUUUUCUAUAGUAGAAUACAUACGAAAGGGGGCAUGAAACAACCCCGGAAGGCGGAUUUAGCAGUAAAGUGGGACAAUAAAGCCCCCUUUAAGUUGGCUCUGGGGCACGUACAUACCGCCCGUCACCCUCC